GGCGGCGUAGCCAAGAGGUCAAGGCAGUGGUCUGCAAAACCAUUAUUCAUCGGUUCGACUCCGAUCGCCGCCUCCA
rnacentral:tRNA from 1 species